CCUGGGGUUGCACCCCAGGCUGAGGGAUGUCGCACCUUUGGUGCU
rnacentral:sRNA from 1 species